CAAACAUCAGCAACGAAUGCUAUUGCUAACAAAUGAGAACUUAUUGUAAAGUGGUACCGAUUCCUUUCUAAAAAAGCUGUAAGAUGUGGAGAUAUUUUUGCCAACUCAAACAGCAAGCGGCUUACAAAUGAUAAAUAUCAGUUUCUCAGAAAGUAGAUGCAAGGUGAGUGUCAAAAGUCAUUCAUUUAUCAGUAAAUAAAACAGGCAACACUGAAGAUAAAAUCCAGGAAAAAUAAAAGGAUUUAUUUCAAGUAAUUAUUCAUAACAAGUACAGUCAAGGCAUAUUAUCGGUUUUCAUUUGACAAGCUCCAUGAAAGGCUACUAAACAAACACCAUUUAUAUUCUUCCUAAUUCAACAUGUAGGACAGUCUGGUGUACACAUUUCAGACACAUCAAAACAGUUUCAUUAAUACAAGAUUGAGGGACAACAAAACAGCGAUCAAAACAGCAUAAAUCACUUCCCCCCAUACAAUAAUGAUUUCCAAGUAACGUUUUCUUUUCAUCCAACAACACAACGUGUGUAUAAGCUGGCAAGAGUGUACAGAUCAUUCUUGGGCUUUGUGCAAGUUUUUGAACUUUGGAACUCAGUAGGGUGUGGUCCCAGAGACGCAAAACUUCCACGGACGUGGGCUAAUACAGAAAGGAAAUCCAGAAGCAAGGUCCCAGAGACGCAAAACUUCCACGGACGUGGGCUAAUACAGUAAGGAAAUCCAGAAGCAAGGUCCCCCUGCUUUAAUACAGAAGGAUUAUGUUCACACAAACACCACAUUGAGAUCAACAACCGCUUUCCCAUCCAGCCUCCAAAAGAGCAAAGAAAGAGUGAGUGAAAGAGAAAGGGAGAGAGAGAGAGAGAGAAUGAAACUCAACAAAUAGAAAAAGAGAGAGAGAAAGAAACCACAAAAGAAGGGAUAUCUGGCACCACUUAAACUGAAGAGCACCUGUUGAGAAAUAAGACAAGUUAGCAUCGUCUGGAGGCAGCUCUACUGUAGACAGACACAACAUUAUUUACAACUGAAACCAAAAGGAGGGUUUUUCACAUCAGUUUUCGUCUGAUUUGCUUAUGCAGUGGUUUUCAAAAGCACAAGAGUGUGGAAAGUCACUCGAACAAUCAAUAAAAUAAUUUUCAUUAUAAUAACGAUCA
ensembl:lncRNA